AUACGGAGGGGGCUAGCGUUGUUCGGAAUUACUGGGCGUAAAGCGCACGUAGGCGGAUUAGAAAGUUAGAGGUGAAAUCCCAGGGCUUAACCCUGGAACUGCCUUUAAAACUAGUAGUCUAGAGUUCGAGAGAGGUGAGUGGAAUUCCAAGUGUAGAGGUGAAAUUCGUAGAUAUUUGGAGGAACACCAGUGGCGAAGGCGGCUCGCUGGCUCGAUACUGACGCUGAGGUGCGAAAGCGUGGGGAGCAAACAGGAUUAGAAACCCUAGUAGUCC
rnacentral:rRNA from 1 species